rnacentral:rRNA from 1 species
CUAUGCGCCUUGCCAGCCCGCUCAGGUGUGCCAGCCGCCGCGGUAAUACGGAGGAUGCGAGCGUUAUCCGGAUUUAUUGGGUUUAAAGGGUGCGCAGGCGGAAGAUCAAGUCAGCGGUAAAAUUGAGAGGCUCAACCUCUUCGAGCCGUUGAAACUGGUUUUCUUGAGUGAGCGAGAAGUAUGCGGAAUGCGUGGUGUAGCGGUGAAAUGCAUAGAUAUCACGCAGAACGCCGAUUGCGAAGGCAGCUUACCGGCGCUCAACUGACGCUGAGGCGCGAAGUGCGGGUAUCGAACAGG